ACGUACCGUACGAACGUUAUUCGGAAUUACUGGGCUUAAAGGGUUUGUAGGCGGCUUUGUAAGUCAGGUGUGAAAUCCCUCGGCUCAACCGAGGAAUGGCGCUUGAUACUGCAAGGCUUGAGGGAGACAGGGGUAAGCGGAACUGAUGGUGGAGCGGUGAAAUGCGUUGAUAUCAUCAGGAACACCGGUGGCGAAAGCGGCUUACUGGGUCUCUUCUGACGCUGAGGAACGAAAGCUAGGGUAGCGAACGGGA
rnacentral:rRNA from 1 species